rnacentral:rRNA from 1 species
UACAGAGGUCUCAAGCGUUGUUCGGAUUCAUUGGGCGUAAAGGGUGCGUAGGUGGCGCUGUAAGUCAGGUGUGAAAUUUCGGAGCUCAACUCCGAAACUGCAUUUGAUACUGCGGUGCUUGAGGACUGGAGAGGAGACUGGAAUUCACGGUGUAGCAGUGAAAUGCGUAGAUAUCGUGAGGAAGACCAGUGGCGAAGGCGGGUCUCUGGACAGUUCCUGACACUGAGGCACGAAGGCCAGGGGAGCAAACGGG